GAGGAGGCUGGAAUGCGCUGGCUGUAACUUACGACCAUUGUGAGGGGCGACGUGGCGCGAGGAGAGCCACUAAAUAAUUCAAAGUAGGGCUGAAGGUCAUUUCGCAGUUAACGGUGCCGUUAGGGUAAAACAAGUUUUACAGCCGAGGAGGUAUCAGCAACCACAACAUUAUCCCAUCCUUUCGCCUCCAAACCCCCACUCUUCUCAGACCCAAAAUCACUUCUGUUCUUUCUCUCCUCUCACCACUCGACUUUAUAACCAAACCAUUCCUUUUCCGCUAUUUAACCAAAAUCCAAUCUUGAACACAAACCAAUUCGUGGGUUUUCCGGGAAAGCAAUUGGGUUUUUGUUUGAAAGGAAGUUAAGGGUUUUGUGAAUGCAAAAGAGGAUGGCGUUGAUGAAGCUGAGGAGCAGAGUAGUUGGAGAGAACUAUGCCGGAGCGGUUUAGGUACUUGACCUAAGAAGCUCCUGACCCUCCUCUGAGGUGGCCUUGGUUUCUGGGUAAAAUGCUUCACUGUCUUUGUCUAUCUUUGUCUAUUUUGAAGAAUUUGCAGGUCCGCUGAGCACAACAGCCGGGUUCAACUCAUCCGAUGCUUCGAUCUAUGUAACCAUGAAGCAAGGGGUUAUGAGGAACUAAGGAAGGCUGCGGGAACCAGCAGGUCAUUAAAAGGGAAAUGUCUGGGCAGAAAUGGUACAUGGUAAGAAUUCCAAGCUUUUGAGUUGUGAAUGUUUUCUGUUGGGAUAUUGAGAUUAAUUAAAUUUGUAAUUUUGUGGUGGAGAUGAAUAUAUGGAAUUGAUGUAUAAAAGCAUUAGAUUGACUGAAUUUGGGACGUAUAUGCAUUUUAUUAAUACAGAAUUAAAAUGCUUCUGCAUUUUGUUUCGGGUUUACGGUAGUUAAACUAAAAUUUGCCGUCUUUCUUUAUGUUUAAAUAUAUGCAAGGGGAACUGACAGAAAAGAAGAUGGGUAUUCCUAAGAAGAGUGGGGGUUGAUUAGGUUUUGGGUGUCCACUAUUUUGAUUGAUUGCAGAUAGAGGUUCUUCUCUUCUUCUUUUCUGUGUUGCAAGUGUAGUAGCUACCUCUGUCUUUCUCUGCUUUGAAGGUAAGUUGUUUAUUGAGAGGUUUGGAUGAUGCCUGCAUUGCCUUGCAUUUCUUUUUGGGAUUGGAGCGUAUUGUUAAAUUGUCUUGCAGAUAAUCUAGCACACUCAUUUCGAUUUGCUUCUUGCUUCUCAAUUUGAGAGAGAAAAACUAUGGGGUGGAGAGAGAGCAAAGAUAUAUGUUGUGUGCGACUUUGGUCCAGCUCCAUGCUUAUUUUCUCAUUAAUAUUCUAUUAACAUUCAAUGGUCAAGAGCUACAUUAUGAGAAGACUACUGUUUUUCAAACCAUUUGAAUAUUUGACGGAUUUGAGAGAUUUCUACUAUACUUCUGAUCCAUAAAUAAGGGCAUUAUUAGUAUGCAAAUUAAUCAAGAAGACUAGUGUAAGAGCUGAGGAGUUACAUAAUAGAGAGAUAGCAUGGGUUGAGCGAAUACUAUAUUGGGGAAGAUGCAGCUGAGGAGUUACAUACUAUUUUUCAAAUUGAUGUAGAUGGUAUGUUACGUAUCUCAUGUCACAUUAGCCAUAUGUUCUUUGCUUGUAGCUUUGCACUGAAGUUCCUGUGCUGGAGUUGAACAUAAUAUUAGUUUCUAAUGACCCAUAUUGUGGUUGGAUUGAAGGUUCUUUGUAUAAAUGGAAUACUUGUGUACUAUUUUCUCAUAUAUAGGUAUUGUGUUGUAUCCA